UAGAGAAAGUUUAAGGCCAAACAUAC
rnacentral:piRNA from 1 species